UACGGAGGGUGCAAGCGUUGCUCGGAAUUAUUGGGCGUAAAGGGCAGGUAGGUGGUCUCAUUUGUCUGGGGUGAAAGCCUUGGGCUUAACUCAAGAAGUGCCCCAGAAACGGUGAGACUCGAGUACUGGAGAGGUAAGUGGAAUUCCCGGUGUGGCGGUGAAAUGCGUAGAGAUCGGGAGGAACACCAGAGGCGAAGGCGGCUUACUGGACAGUCACUGACACUCAACUGCGAAAGCGUGGGGAGCAAACAGG
rnacentral:rRNA from 1 species